AGUUCCUCAGUUUCAUCAGUUCAGUGUCUUGUCAUUGAUGUUGUUGUUCCCGUGUGUGCUUUCAGUUCAGCCAGUCAUUCAGCCAGUCAGCGUUCGUUCACGUUCUGUUCAUCCAUUCUGUAUAAUAAACGCCAUUCUCAUCUUCAAUCAAGCUACGAGUCCUGCGUUUGAUCCUCUCUUCCUGUCAUCCACACACGAAGCCCCUGACAUCAUGUUUAUAUAUUGAAGAGUUGUGGACUGGCAUUUCUUUGUUGGUCGAACUGUGGGCAAAGGCUCCCUUGUCCAUGUUUUCUCCUCCGCAUCUGUUCUACACUAUCUGAUCAGCUUAGGGUCUUUAAGGACCAGCUACUCUCCACCAGAUGAUUGUGAUAUCUUUUAUGGUGGAUACCUGAAAUCCUUGUGAUUCCUCUGUGUUCCCAGAUUUCCAUUACCUUGAAGAGUUUAACAGAGACUUCCCAGUUUUCUUGCCUGAGCCCUCUAGCUGGUUGCUGCACCAACAAAGAAAAUGACUUACCUAAAACACAGCUGCCCACUCUCUGCCAAAUCUCUCUCCACUCCCUGGGAUCAUCUUCUAGUAGCCCCUCUGUUUCUCAGAGUCUCAGAGUCUGAUUGCAAAUAUUAUACAGUCUUAUCAAACUCAACUUGGCUAUUUCUAACAUUUUACGUACUCUUUGGCAGAAUCUUCAGACCUGUUCCAGUAGUAGUACUCCCUCUUACCUGUUUUUGAGAACUAACCUUGUUUAAAGUUAAUUCUGUAAAACUCCUGUUGGUUUUCUGAAUCUGGUGUUUGAGUCCAACUCGUGCUUAAACACACAAGUGUGAGGACAAAUUAUCUCUUUGUCUCAUUUUGAGCCAUACUGUUAAGCACAUUUCAAAUAUCAGUUUUCAAGAUUUAGACCUAUCCACCUGAGGAGUAUAAAAGUACCAGCAUAUAACUGAAUUCUUGGUGAAAUAAGGUUUGAUUUCUCACAUUGUCAGCAUCACAUAAGCUAUGUCAAGUCUUAAAGACUGCAUUGUGUUUAGAUAGACUUUGCCAUCAGAGAUCAAGUGAGAGCAGAGUCAACAUUAAAAAAAAGAAGAAAGAAGAACCAGCAGAAAGACCUGGGGGAACUAAUAGCAAGAAUGUUCUGAAUCAUUUGAAUUGGUUGAGUGCCCAGUGUGUGAAUCUAUUGGCAUUGAGUGUGUUGUUUCUGUUUAUCUCUUGGUUUUAUAAAGCACUAAUGCACUAUCUUUGGGGUACUUGACUUGCAUUACUGAUAAUAAAAUGAUAACAGUUUCAGGAUAUAAGAGGAGAGGGAAGGAGCUGACAUAAUCCCAACAUGAUAGAUGUGGGUUUUUGAUAAAUGUAUGACCUUGGUGUAAGAUGAAAUUCU